rnacentral:rRNA from 1 species
UAGGGAAUAUUGCACCAUGGGCGAAAGCCUGAUGCAGCAACGCCGCGUGAGCGAUGAAGGCCUUCGGGUCGUAAAGCUCUUUUCAAGGGGAAGAGGAAGGACGGUACCCUUGGAAUAAGUCUCGGCUAACUACGUGCCAGCAGCCGCGGUAAAACGUAGGAGGCGAGCGUUAUCCGGAUUUACUGGGCGUAAAGCGCGUGUAGGCGGCGAAGAAAGUUGGAUGUGAAAGCUCCUGGCUUAACUGGGAGAGGUCGUUCAAAACUUCUUUGCUUGAGUUUGGUAGAGGAAAAUGGAAUUCCGGGAGUAGUGGUGAAAUGCGUAGAUAUCCGGAGGAACACCAGUGGCGAAAGCGAUUUUCUGGACCAAUACUGACGCUCAGACGCGAAAGCUAGGGUAGCAAACGGGAUUAGAGACCCCGGUAGUCCUAGCCGUAAACGAUGUAGACUUGGCGUUGGGAGGGUAAAACCUUUCAGUGCCGAAGCAAACGCGAUAAGUCUACCGCCUGGGGACUACGGCCGCAAGGUUA